rnacentral:lncRNA from 1 species
CUUCCCCCACACUUGUAAGUUUCGAAGUGCUUGCCACAUCCCAGCCACUUCCUAGAGGUUCUUCACACAAAAGUUAAUAUGCUUGGUACCAUGGCCCCUUGCCAUGCUGACCACAGCUGAUUGGACGUGGGUGGGCAGCUGACACAAAAGCAACUGUUCAUAGGUUAGGCAGCAGCCAAUGAAGUUACCUGCACAACAGGGGGGCUCUGUGGUUGACUGGCUCAAACAUAUUCUUCAAUUUAGAGAAUCUGAAUUCAGUUUAUAGAGAUGACCAGCUGAUACAAAGAAAACAGGGAAAACAACAGAGAGACAAGGCAGUAGUCAGAGCUCCCGUGGUGGGAGAAGCCAUGAGUAAGUUUCAUCUCUGGUGCCUAUGAAGCCCAGAUCAGCCCCAAACUUUAAUUAAGGAAUCUAGCUCCUUGCUCAUAAUACUCCUCCCUGGUCCUACUCCCAACGUGAUCUUGGGCAACAUCAGGGCCCAUGUGGAUGUCCAAGUUCCAGAGGUCUUAGAGCUCUUCAGAUCCAAUGACUUUCCCUUUGAGUCUCUUUCUUCCUCCAGCACAGCCUUAACACUUCCUAAACGUAGGAACUCUGAAUUUUAAAGCUGGAAGCGACCUUAUAGAUGGCACUCCUCUCAAAGAAAACUUAAUUGGCUUCCCUCUGUUGUGACUUUUCAGAUUGCCUUUUGGAAAUCUGAAAGCUAUAAAAGAACAUGGAAAGAUUUUAUAGAACUUAUCUCUACAUGGUGGAAAUGAAUGGGAAGCUGCGUAGAAAGAAUGAUUUGCAAAACUCCAG